GAUGAACGCUGGCGGCGUGCCUAAUACAUGCAAGUCGAGCGAACAGACGAGGAGCUUGCUCCUCUGACGUUAGCGGCGGACGGGUGAGUAACACGUGGAUAACCUACCUAUAAGACUGGGAUAACUUCGGGAAACCGGAGCUAAUACCGGAUAAUAUAUUGAACCGCAUGGUUCAAUAGUGAAAGACGGUUUUGCUGUCACUUAUAGAUGGAUCCGCGCCGCAUUAGCUAGUUGGUAAGGUAACGGCUUACCAAGGCAUCGAUGCGUAGCCGACCUGAGAGGGUGAUCGGCCACACUGGAACUGAGACACGGUCCAGACUCCUACGGGAGGCAGCAGUAGGUAAUCUUCCGCAAUGGGCGAAAGCUUGACGGAGCAACGCCGCGUGAGUGAUGAAGGUCUUCGGAUCGUAAAACUCUGUUAUUAGGGAAGAACAAAUGUGUAAGUAACUAUGCACGUCUUGACGGUACCUAAUCAGAAAGCCACGGCUAACUACGUG
rnacentral:rRNA from 1 species